CAGCAGCCGCGGUAAUACGAAGGGGGCUAGCGUUGCUCGGAAUCACUGGGCGUAAAGGGUGCGUAGGCGGGUCUUUAAGUCAGGGGUGAAAUCCUGGAGCUCAACUCCAGAACUGCCUUUGAUACUGAAGAUCUUGAGUUCGGGAGAGGUGAGUGGAGCUGCGAGUGUAGAGGUGAAAUUCGUAGAUAUUCGCAAGAACACCAGUGGCGAAGGCGGCUCACUGGCCCGAUACUGACGCUGAGGCACGAAAGCGUGGGGAGCAAACAGGAUUAGAUACCCCGGUAGUCCCUGUCUCUUAUAA
rnacentral:rRNA from 1 species